CAGCAGCCGCGGGAAUACGUAGGUGGCAAGCGUUGUCCGGAAUUAUCGGGCGUAAAGGGCUCGCAGGCGGUUUCUUAAGUCUGAUGUGAAAGCCCCCGGCUCAACCGGGGAGGGUCAUUGGAAACUGGGAAACUUGAGUGCAGAAGAGGAGAGUGGAAUUCCACGUGUAGCGGUGAAAUGCGUAGAGAUGUGGAGGAACACCAGUGGCGAAGGCGACUCUCUGGUCUGUAACUGACGCUGAGGAGCGAAAGCGUGGGGAGCAAACAGGAUUAGAUACCCCAGUAGUCCCUGUCUCUUAUAC
rnacentral:rRNA from 1 species